CUCGAGUCGGUUAGUCAAUGACUCAACAACUGAUCCCCCCCCGUUUCUCUUUUUGACACUGCCACCAGCUACCACAAGAUAUAAAGCCCCACUUCUUCAAAUCGUUUUUUCGCAAAGGCCAGAGUGAUACUAUAUUAUGUAUGACAGCGCCUGAAUCUGAGUCUUUGGUGGAGUCUAUCAUGGACCACUACACCACCAUUACCAAACCUCAGACCCUUUACACCAAGAAUCGCCUAAACGACAGUGACGACGAUGAAGAAGAGGAGGAGUGUGACGUGGAGGUCUGGGAGAUGCUGAGCAAGAGCUUUAUUCAAGUACAGUCCGUACUGGAUCAGAACCGUGUGUUGAUCAAUCAGGUGAACGAGAACCACCAGUCCAAGAUUGCUGACAAUCUCGCCAAAAACGUUGCCCUAAUCCGCGAGAUCAAUACCAACAUCUCCAAAGUUCUCUCCAUUUACUCCGACUUGUCCCUCAAUUUCUCCACCAUCGUUCACCAGCGUCGCGCCGCCGUGAUCAAUUGCAAGAGGAGCGUCGACGACAAAGCCUGAACAUGAUAUUGCUCGUGAAUUUCAGAACAAGGCUGCGGGAAUGCUUAUCUACAUUCAUCCUUACCCGCAGACGAAUUGAGAAUUACCAAGGUGAUUUUUGGGGGGAUGGUAACAGCCAUGAACUGUUUGUACUCAUGGUUGAUGGUGAGUGGAGGUGGAUGGUGGAGCUGGUGAAGACAAAGGAAGCUGGCAAUGGAUGGUUCUGCAGGCAGAUGAAUCUAGAACUACAGGUGCUGAAUGUGGCAAUUUAUUUGGGUUGGGGUUGUUGGAAUUUUCAGUUAUGAUUAUGUUAUGGAGCAUUAAGUUUCUUGGUUUUCAUUGUAACACAUUCACUCAUUGUUUCAUUUUUUCCUGGUUAUGGAUGGGAGAAGUGUUGGGGAGAAUAAACAUCUUGGGGAAACUUCCUUGAGUAAUUAAUAUAACAUAUAAAGACACACUUUAACCCAAAAGGCCUAAGCCCAAUGGAUAUGUGCUCAAUUAUGUUAUAUUAACCACUCAUUCUUCUCAUAUUUAUUCAAUAUGGAACUUCACUCACACGUGUAACCCAACAAAUCUCCCCCUCACGUGUGAGUCUACCUCUUUAUGGGUUUCAAGACCUCUUUGUGGGCCAUGAACAAGUCCUACUCACUCCCCCUUGCCUAAUGGCUUUUCACUUCAUCAGCACGUCAUCCAUGGGUCUCUCGUACGCCAUCCAUGGGAACCACGUGUCAACCCUACACGCACAUCCAUGGGAACCCCGCACGUCCAUGUCCAUGGGAAUCUCGCACCACACCAUUAUUUAGCACCAUUAGCAAUAUUCCUUUGUUGGGCUUUUUUUUCUUGGAUCUUUAUGUGUGGGCCAUUUAGGCUUUCUCUGUCCCCGCUGAGUAGGGAUUAUGAACACCUUACCACCUUCGCCGCACACCACCAUGGGCUCUAAUACCACUUGUUGGGGAGAAUAAACAUCUUGGGGAAACUUCCUUGAGUAAUUAAUAUAACAUAUAAAGACACACUUUAACCCAAAAGGCCUAAGCCCAAUGGAUAUGUGCUCAAUUAUGUUAUAUUAACCACUCAUUCUUCUCAUAUUUAUUCAAUAUGGAACUUCACUCACACGUGUAACCCAACAAGAAGUGGGUUGUAGUGGAAAGAUCAGUUUUAAGUACAUUUUAGGGAGGUAAAAUUGAAGAUGGAUAGUGAGUUUUAUAUUUCCUGAGAAUGUGGAUGCUCAUCGUGGAUUCGUGGUUGAGGGCAGUGGUUGCAGCUCUCAAUUUGGUCGAACUGGUGGAGAUCAUGUGGUGAGUUUGUUUCACUUGUAAUGAAGCAAAAUGGGACUCGUCCAAAGCAAUCCCUACAAAUUAGAGGAUGAGGAAAUGUUUGGUUAUUGUUUUACGGUUUCAAAGCAGAAUAUAUAUGUGGGGGGUUUUUGGUGUAAUAUUCUUACAGUGUUGUGUAUUUUCUUCUCAGUGUACAAGGUCUCAUGUAAGAGGAUAAACAAAUCGGUCUGUGUUUAUAGCCCACCUUCAUUCUUCUUGUGGAAUAUUCCUUUUUCCUGGUCUUAAAUUUGUAUUUGCAUCAUUCAGUUGAAGAUUGUAGUGUCAUCUUGUGGAUAUACUUUAAUCCCAGAGCUUCAGUGUGCUCUGGGUCUCUGACAACGACAUUUAAACCUAUCUUGAUGGCUAUAGGUUCCUUUAAGUUAUUACUUAUAUGUAUAAAAGACUUCAAGAGUUCCACCGUGUAUAAUCAUCUCCGAUCUUUUAACUUUUCCGUAUAGGUCAAGACUUCAAGCAUUCCAUUGGUUGAGUAGGUAGAAAUAAUUUUAUAAACCUGGUGAUCAAUUUAGUCCCUUGCUGCUAACUUUUAAUUAUGGUAUUUUAUCUAUGAGAUAAAAAGGGAAAAAAGAAGAAUUGAAGAUGGAUAUUUUAUCCAACAAGUUCUGUGCACGAUCAUUGGAUUUUUUUACUCUUUGAGGUUCAGAUUCUUAAUAUGGCUUUGCCAUGCAGAUCAAUUAUUUGUAUAUUUUAUUCUCUAGAUUGGUUAGUCGAGAGAGUGGCAAAAAAGGAGAAGAAAUGAACUUUUAGCUUAGUCUUCUUAGUUUAUUACUUUACAAAACAAUUUACACUGGCAUUCUGAGUAGUACAUAUGUGGAUUGUGGCAUUGACAUUGGUGAAAUUACAAAAUGGAUGCUGAAACUACUGCGGAGCAGAUUUUAAGGUUGGCCAGAUAGAGAAUACUGUGGCAGGGACUGAAAUUGAGAAGUUCUCGAAAGGUGGUUCAAUGACCUGCCAAGAAAGCUCAUGAUGUAUUCAAUACUCACAAACAAGCAUUUUAGACCUCACUUGUUGCAUCUGGCUGUAUUUUUGCAUUGGCUUGAAAGUGCAUUCAAAGGAUUUUCUCAUAUGUUAUUCGAGACCAACUAUUUGGACAUAUUUCUUCUUAUUAUGGGCACACAGGAAUGAGUACCAACUUGAAAUCUUGUUUGAUUUA